rnacentral:misc_RNA from 1 species
UACGAGGACCUCAAGCGUUACCCGGAUUUAUUGGGCGUAAAGUGUACGUAGGGGGCUUAAUAAGUUUGUAGUUAAAUCUCAGAGCUCAACUCUGAAACUGCUACGAAAACUGUUAGGCUAGAGGGUGUCAGAGGUCAGUGGAACAUACGGUGUAGGGGUGAAAUCCGUUGAUAUCGUAUGGAACACCAAAGGCGAAGGCAUCUGACUGGGGCACUCCUGACCCUGAGGUACGAAAGCAUGGGGAGCGAACGGG